AUGGAGAGGAGGGACGCCACCAUGGGAGAACAGGGCCAACUUCGUGGUGGGCAUGGAGGCGCAGAGGAGGAUGGCGAUGGGGGAUGGGAGCAGAGUAGCAGGACUUCCAGGCGGUGCUCGCGUCAUGGUGGAGUGGAGGAGCUCGUCGUCCAUCAUCACAAUCCACAAUCUAGAUCUGAGAUAGAAAAGAAGAGAAAGAAUCUUGUGGAAUUUCAGAUCUGA
rnacentral:rRNA from 1 species